GCAGCGUUUUUACCGAUUUCUCGGCUGGGCCCCCUCUUUAAACAACUCCAUCUCUCAUUCUUAAUUUUUGUUCUCUCUCCCUCUUUCCCUGAAGCUCUCUUUCCAUCUCUCUGUGGGAGAAAAUGAGCAAAUGGGCUGUAAGGACAAGCACUUCUCAUCUUUUCUCAACCACCCGUUUCCCUCUGCGAGCUGAAAUGACCCAAUUGCCCUUCCCAAUUAGGGUAUACCCUGAAACUUGUUUCAUUGAAAUCAAUGGACAGUAUGGGGAAAUCACUACCAGAAUAAAGGGUAUUCUGUAUUCUUCUCUCUGAAAAACCACAGAUUAUGUUGUAGAGUAGGGAAAAAAAGAAAGGCAGACAGAAUGGAGCCAGGCAAUUUUAGAUAUAGCUUUGCAGAAAGAUUCGAUUUUUCCAUAUACAUACAUUCAUAUAGAUAUAUACAUGUGUGUGUGUAUAUAUAUAUAUAUAUACACUCACAGACCCUUUUGGCUAUUAGGUCUUUUGCAAAUAUAGGAACAUGCUGCGAUUCUUGCUAGGUAAAGAAGAGAGGAGGACCGAGAAGCAAGAAGAAAAUCGAUUCAAGUUAUCAACCACAGAUGUUCACGCUGGUUUUUUCAUAUAUAAGUUGCAUGUAUACGCCCGGGGAUUCUUCACUCAUGUAUGUAUGUGGGAUUCUUUCUUUUUCUUUUCCGGUUUUAUCUUUUAAUGUCAUUAUAGGCAAACGUGUAUGAUUAUUACAAUCAAAGUAUGUUCUUCCCAAUUAUUUUUAACAGGCUGAGUAAUUACUUUUCCAUGUUAAUUCAGUACUUGAUUUUUUUCCUUCUUGUUAAAUAUAUCCACAGUGGCCAUGUGUAUUGCUUUGAAUCCGUAGUCGUUAAUUUUCUUUCAAAUGAGAGCAGAAUUGUUGUAUUAUCUGGUCUAAAUCUUCUUUUCAAUAAACUAUCCUAAUGCAUAUCUGUUUUAUGAAGUACUAAAAUAUUGUUGAGUUCGAGCUCAUAUCAUACUUGAUUCAAAUAUAUAGUUGAAUAUCAAUACUCGUCGCGAUCUUCUUCAUUCUAACUUGGUAUGACAGGCUUGUAUAUACGUAUAUAAUUAUGUGUAUGUGUAUGUGUGUGUGUGUGUGUAAACAUACAUGUAUAUGAGAAGAUGACAUGUUUAACUUCAAUAGAUGAUUGUUUAAAUUUUUGGUUCUUCAAUCAAAUGUUCUUUAUUUAUAUUUUAGUUUUCAUAUCUCUUCGUGCCUUGUACUAAAAUUUAAACAAUAAAAAUUAAGCGAAAAUUGAUAUUUGAAUUUAAAAAUCUUGCUUUAAUGCUAUGUCCAGGUAAAACAAUAAAUUUUCUGCUGUGCAUGGAAAUUUUCAGUCUUGCAGGCGGAUUUUCAGUGCUUUGUUUGACAUAUAUAUAUAUAUAUAUAUAUAUAUAUAUAUUGCGUGUUGAUCAUGGCAUGUAACGUCGUAUUUCACAAGUAAUGUUCCCACAAUGUCUAAACAGCCGAAAAUUAGUAGAAGGCACCAUAAAAGCAAAGCAAAGGGCUGCCCUCGGUAAGACCUAGCUUGCCAAUAUAUGUGUGUAUAUAUUUAUAAUAUUUUAUUAUUGGUGUAUGAAAACUUUAUAUUUAAAUUGUUUAAAGUUGAAAUAUAUAUAUUUUUUUAACUCACUAACUUCAAAUGACAUAUCUUUUUUAAGGGAUAAAAUUAUUAUCAAAUAAAUUUUUAAUCAAAUCUUGUAUACACUUGUAUUAUGAUCUAUUGUCUAAAUUUAGCAUUAGUUUUAUACUAUUGAAU
rnacentral:lncRNA from 1 species